CUAGAGCGUGCACAGUCCACACAGCCGGCCCAAGCCCGCUGGACCUCCACCUGCCCUCUCCGCGCUGUCGUCUUCUCCAGAGAGAUCGAGGGACGCGUGUGCCGGCCGACAUCAGCGAGCAACCACCGCGGCUCUCCUCUCCCCUUGAAGCCUCCCCAGCCACCCAAAUCCUAACCCUAACCCCCCCUCUCCCUUCCGCCGCUGCCAGGUGGGUCUCCCCUUUCUGUUCUCUUCCCCACCAAGCAAACCGAGGAGCACCAGAGCAUCGCCGGAGCAGGCCACCGUGGCCAGCGUCCUCCGCCGGCGUUUUCUUCGUGACCGGGAGCCCCGCCUGCACGACUACUUCCUCUACUCGGACGACCUCGAGCUCGGACGCCUCCACGCCGUCGAAUUGCUCGACCUCCUCCUCUUCAGCUGAUCGCCGUCACCGUUCAGAUUCGCCGCCGACAGACCUCCUCCGCCAUUUUCGGCUACGCCAGCAUCACCAGGGAAGAAGAAAAUGAACACCAUGCUGUCAGAAAAUGCUGAAAGGAAGCCACGUGUGCUUCAUAAUCUGCAAAAGCAGCUAGAUGAGGCUGUCCUCGAUAUGCAACUCUAUGAGAAAGCUCUAGAUGUGUUUGAGGAUGAUCCUGCUACCGCUGGCAUAUUACACGAUCAUCUGCUAAGAACUAUGGCUACUCCAGUAGUCAACAAGAUUUUAUUUAGUCUGGACAAGGACAACAAAUUGAAGAAUGGAAUGGAGUUUGAAGACAGCGAAGAACAGGAUGUUCAGCUGAGCAGUACUGAGCGUACUUUUCUGGCAAAGAAUCUUCCAGGGCAAUUGUCAUCGAAGGCUCAAGCUUUAAUAGAAGCAGUGGAGGGAAAGCGGUUUGAUUCAUUUAUGGACGCCUUAAGAGAUGCAGCAGAGGAAAGUGGCUUGUUAUUUAAGAAGCUUGAUGAAGGACUAGAGCGAUCAAUGCUGCGUUCCUACCACAAGGAUUUGACAGCACAAGUUUCUUUAGAGACUGAUCCAGUGUCCUUCCUCCCAAAAGUUGUUGCUCUGCUUUUUCUCCAGGCAUACAACAAGGCUCUUCAGGCACCUGAAAGUGCUGUUCGUGCUGUCAUCACACUACUGAAGGACAAGCUACCAGCUUCAACCUUCAAGGUUUUAACUGAAUAUCACGGCACCACCGUGAAACUUCUCGCACUACAAGAUGCUGCUACUGGUGAUGAAGAUGAUUGCACAUCGGACCGAAUGCUGGAGAAGCAGGAAGACCUGGAAGAGAGGCUGAUGCCAGAACUAAAAUCCCUGGCCCUGGGCACAGGCAAAGAGUGAGCAGCAAAAAUGGUGUGCAUUGUACGCCAUGCCCUCUGUGUAAAUACACAUAUCUAUCUACCUACCUAUCCUCCUUGGCACUGGAGCUGUGGUUGUUUCGUGUGGCAGCAGAAUCAAUUUCUUAAUUUUUUUUAACGAGCAACCACAGCAUGUAUGAACAUCUUGAAUACCUUGAAACUCUGCUAGUUCCUUCCUGAACAAUGACUGCGAGCAAAUAUUUUUAAGAACCUUUUAUCU